GACGAACCGUGCGAACGUUGUUAGGAAUCACUGGGCUUAAAGGGCGCGUAGGCGGGUUCGCAAGUCUGUGGUGAAAGCCUCCAGCUUAACUGGAGAAGUGCCAUGGAUACUGCGCAUCUUGAGGAGGGUAGGGGCGUCUGGAACGGUCGGUGGAGCGGUGAAAUGCGUUGAUAUCGACCGGAACACCGGUGGCGAAGGCGGCUUCCUGGACCGACACUGACGCUGAGGCGCGAAAGCUAGGGGAGCAAACGGG
rnacentral:rRNA from 1 species